ACAGGGCCCUGCUGUGACCUCAUGGCCGGGGGGUGGUUGUGUGGGGAUGGAGCUCAGGGUGAGGAUCUGCCUUCCUGGGGAGGGAGCACAUCCCAGCAGGCAGCUCUGUCCGAGGACUACCACACAGUCCCACCCAGGGCUGAGCCUGCAGGCUGGGGGAUGAAGGGAUCAAGUGGUGAGAAGGUGGAUCUUCCUGGUGAGAAGGACUCAGGGGUGCUGGUGGAUGAGAGGCUGGACGUGCCGUGGCCAUAUGCUCUCAGUGCCCAGAAAGCCAACCUUACCCUGGACUGAGUCCAAAGGAGUGUGUCCAGCACCCUGAGGGUGGUGAUCCUGCCCCGCUGUUCCUCCCUGGCUUAUUCAAGCUAGUCCUUGACACAGAGCAAAGAUUAAAUCUACCUUUUCAAAUCAAGGCCAUAGUUCCAAGCAGAAUUUACCAUUUGUGGUGGCAGUUUUGUCUGCUCCGUAUGUCAGAAUUCCCACUUCACCAUCUGUUUUCUCAGUUUCUUUUGAAGUUGAAUUAACUGGAAGACAAGCAACUGCUUUCUGCUUCAGAAGUUGGGCCAAAUCCAACUGGUUUUGGAAUCUGUUUUUUGGAACUAUUACAGUUCAGAAAGCAUCAAAAAUAUCUGAAUCUAUUUAAGAAGUAUGGAAAACAAAAAUAUAAAGCCCUGCCAUGUUCAUGAUUGCACAAAACCAAUUUCCUUUUUCGAAAGAAAAUCAAGUCUGAAAGAGUUCAACUGCCAGAAUAUGAAUGUAAAGGAGGUCAGAAUAUCAACAGGAUGUCAACAGGAUACAUGAUCCUUCUCUUUUGAGUGAGACACCUGAAGAGGUGUGUAAAAUAAAACAUCUUGUACCACAAAA